GUUCAGGAAAGUCUAAAGACCUUGUGUGUGUGUGUGUGUGUGUGUGUGUGUGUGUUUAAACUUAGCAACCUCGUAACACUGCUGAAGAAUCACCAGGGAACAGGGUAGUAUAUGGAGAAAAAUUAUUUAAUAGCUUGACAUAUUAAGGACAUGAAAACAUAUUGGUUUUUAACUUAUGAUAUCUGAUUUAAAUAUUAGUCUUUUCUAUUAAUAAUUGAACACAGUUUGCUUCAUUUUAUGUAAUACUUUUUAAUAAUAAGCUGGUCAGAUUUUAAAUAAAGUUCUAAAUCUUCACAUUGUUUUCUCUUUUCGUGUAUGCUACAUUUUGUGUGUUUUAGAUGAACCAGUAACCCAUGGGGGAACGUUUCCACAUUUAAUGUUUCCUCCUGUUAUUAUAUGUUGUUUGAUUUUGCAAUGAUUAUUUACUUUCAAUAAUUUUCAAGUAUAAAAGAAAAAAGACUUUAUGCGGAAGGGGGGAGAAAUGAGAAACCGCUCGUGUUUGUUUCCUCUGUAUCAGGGAACAAAAAGAAGAGUUUCCCACAAGCCGAAAUCAGUUUGCUGAUUACUUGGAACUAUCUGGUUAUGAGAAGAGGAAUAGAUUCAAAGUGAAAGAAAUAGCACAUUUAUAUCACCACCCUGGGCCAUUGUCUUUGGCCAUUUGCACUUAAGGUGCUUACAUGAGCAGGCAGUGUCUGUCUUCCCAAACCACUGCUGUGCAACGAUUAUCCUCGACAACCUGCUCCGUCUUCACUGGAACAUAACUGACAUAUAAUCUUGAGGAAAUAGGAUACCUCUGCAGGCUUCUGGAACCACAGUAGGGGCACGGAGUGUCCCUUGUUACGUUGCACAAAGUCAGUACUGUGUUUCAGCUAGUAGCACAGGCUGCAGGGGCAGGGGACCUCCAUCCAGAUCCGGGAUCUCUUUAUCUCUGAAAACUUUUAGAAACUACUUAACAACCCUGCACCUUCUUUCACUCAUUGAUGAGAUGAAGAUCGUGAUAUGCUCACUUCGCAACACUGUUGUGAGGACGCACACUGAUGUGCGCAGAGUGCUCUGAAGAGUCCUGGUAGAUGGAAGCAGCACAGAGAGCAGGAUCUGCUCCCAACCUCACUCCCACUCCCUCCACCUGCAGGAAGAUGGGGAUGUAGACCUCAUCACCUCCUUGUGCUGUUGAGCCCCUGGGUACUGUAAGAACAAGCGAAGGAAGGAAAUUGUAAAAACGGAGAAAUCUUGAAGAAAAUAUUGGAGGGUGCUUAGAAGCACCUGACAGAACACAGUAAAUGUGUUCACUUAACUUUAUCUUUUCCUUCGUCCAUAGAUUUAUAGAUUACUUUUUUUAAUUGAGGCAGACUGGUCAUUGUCAUCAUUACUAUAAUGAUAUAAUGAUACAAUGCCUGUGUGUGUUGCAACGUGAUCACCACAAUAAGUCUAGAUAAUAUCUGUCAUCAUACAUUGUUAAAGUCUUUUAUAACUCUAACAGUAUAUAGAUUAAUUUUGAUUAAUUUACUUUUUAACUUAAAAGCACAGGGCCGAAUGGCAAACGUGUGGCCAGGAAGUUUGAUCUUUUGUCAGUCUUCCGGAAAGGUCCCUCGGCUUUAUGGAUCCAAGAUUUAUUAAUAUGUUCAAUGUUUGUAACCAGUCACAUCUGGGAAGAAUGCUCGUUCUGUUGUUUCCUAAUUAUGUGAUCUUGGAAAAGUCACAAAAGUUCUGUGAAUCUCAAUUUCCUCAUCUGCAAAAUGGAGCCACAAUGACUGGUGAAAAUUUGUUGUGGUGGUUAAAAUAACUGAUUUUGGAAAACUUAGCAACCUGUCAAGCAGAUAGGGUAGCAUUAAACCAAUGGCAUUAGGUGUUUCUAAUCUUCCCUAAGUCAGAAUUACACUUGGUUGACUUCGGCCACGGUUCUUGGUUUGACGUGACCGAGGCUCGUCGCUGUCAAGUCAAGUGAGGUAACACGCACAGGAAAACACUGUGGCACAACAUGCACGAUGCACAUGUUAUAAUUUUGAAAUUUGCAUUAGUAGCUUCUCCACUAUGGUUAUGCUCAGGGUUGACCUUAGACCAUCUGUUUUCCUUUAACUGUUCUCUCACUGCUCCUUCUCCUCGAUGACUUCAGCCAUCACCCUUCCAGGCCCUUGGGCACAAUUUUCAGUUUUCCCCAUCUCACUCUUCAUAAUCAAAAUCUUGCAAAAUAGUCUUCUGUAUUCCUCUGAGAAAAAUAUUUACUUCAUUUGUCCUCUUUUAUCUACCCUAGUAGGAUAAUCCCUAGUGGAAGUUUUAGUCACAUCAUGUCAUUUUCUUUCACAUCAAUGCUCCUCUGUUUGUGAUAGAACUCCUCCAUCUAACGUCAGAGUCUUAGUCUUCUAGAACCUCCGAGCUCAUGGCUGAGGACCCCGAGGGCCUCGGAUUCUUUCUGAUCCUUGUGCCUUUGCUCUUUCUCUCUACUUCAGCACAUACUCUCCCUUUUCUUCAAUUUCUGUUAAUAAAUUGAAUAAUUUUAAGAAUCAUUGGGGUUAUUGACCAUUUUGAACAGUAACAAAUGAUUUAAUAUGACUUUAUUUGUAUCGUUGAACUAAUAAUACUGUUUGGAAAAUCGAGCCAUAUAAAGAUCAUCAAUUUUUAUUUGUUCAAAUCUAGUAAUUUCUUUAAAAAUUCUUAAUCUUUAUAUGAGACAUAGUCAUGAUACCAUCAUUUAAAUAUGCCCUAGAGA